AUCGCUUCUCGGCCUUUUGGCUAAGAUCAAGUGUAGUAUCUGUUCUUAUCAGUUUAAUAUCUGAUACCAGGCACUCACUCCCGAGAGCCAGGAAUGACUCAGCUCUCCUCACCUUCA
rnacentral:snRNA from 1 species